UAGGGAAUCUUGCGCAAUGGGCGAAAGCCUGACGCAGCAACGCCGCGUGGGGGAUGAAGGCCCUCGGGUUGUAAACCCCUUCCAGCAGGAACGAAUCUGACGGUACCUGCAGAAGAAGGCCCGGCUAACUACGUGCCAGCAGCCGCGGUAACACGUAGGGGCCAAGCGUUGUCCGGAUUCAUUGGGCGUAAAGAGCUCGUAGGCGGUUCAGUUAGUCGGGUGUGAAAUCUCCGGGCUCAACUCGGAGGGGCCACCCGAUACUGCUGUGACUCGAGUCCGGUAGGGGAGUGGGGAAUUCCUGGUGUAGCGGUGAAAUGCGCAGAUAUCAGGAGGAACACCGGUGGCGAAGGCGCCACUCUGGGCCGGUACUGACGCUGAGGAGCGAAAGCGUGGGGAGCAACCAGG
rnacentral:rRNA from 1 species